AACUGAGGCAAGGAGCCUUGAAGUCACAGGUCAAGAGUAAGAGGCAAGGCCGGGAUUCGAACCGAGUCCGAGAGCCCGGGACCUGCUCGACCGCUUCCCCACGGGCCUCCGGCGCCCACUUGGGGGCUAAGGCGCCCCCGCCGCCGGGCCCCUCCGGACGCCGAGGCCAGCCGAGAUCGGGCCGCCGGCCAGGCUGCUGGGCGCCGCGCCCGUCCGCAUCACGCCGCGGUCGGACACAGUGGCUCACGCCUAUAAUCGCAGCACUUUAGGAAGCCGAAGCUGGUGGAUCACUUGAUGUCAGGAGUUCAAGACCAGCAUGGGCAAAAUGGUGAAACUCCGUCUCUACUAAAAAUACAAAAAUUAGCCGAGCGUGAUGGCCAGCACCUGUAAUCCCGGCUACUCGGGAGACUGAGGCAGGAGAAUCGCUUGAACCUGGGAGGCAGAGGUUGCAGUGGGCCGAGAUCGUGCCACUGCACUCCAGCCUGGGUGACAAGAGUGAAACUCCGUCUCAAAAAUAAUAAUAAUAAAAAUUAAAAAUAGUGUU